GGAUUUAAUUUUCCCAAAUUUAUACCAUCUGCCGCCAUCUUGUGCCCAAAUAAUUUGAUUUUCGCCGAAGUAAUUUUCACAAAUCUUCUAAAAAUUGCAAAUCCAUGAAAUUUACAGCCCCAAAAAUUUUGCACUACACGGUACAUGUACAUGGAGCUUGAGUGAUAGCGGAGAGGUGUUAUUAGCAGUGGGCGGAGUCAAAGGAAUAAUUAGAAUAUUAAGUACAGAUACAAUGCAGUGCAUUAUUACGUUUACAGGUCAUGGUAAUGCUGUGAAUGAGUUACAGAUUCAUCCAAAAGACAAUAACCUCCUACUAUCA